GUGUAUCAGUGAGUGAGUGUAUGUUUGUCAGUGAGUGUGUGUCUGCCAGUAUGUGUCUGGCAGACACACACUGGCAGACACACACACUCACUGACAGACAUGUACAUGAACU